ACCUUUCUGAAAGAGGCUGGGGCAGGCAGUGACUGUUCAGAUGUCUAGUUUCUUUGGGACACUUCUCCAGCGCUGCCUUCCCUACCUCUGCCUUUGGAAUGAGUCUCAAA
ensembl:miRNA predicted gene, 24155